GGUGAGGCUACCAUGAGACUGAAGAGAGAUGAGUCGGCGUUUAGGAUCGAAGAACUUGUCAGAUCUGGUUUUUACUUUUUUCAGAUCUUCGACGAGAGCUUCAUGAUGACGGCGCGUGUACCGGUCUGACAACUUCUCUAGCUCGGAUCUACUUUCUAGCGUGGAGGUGAGACAGAAGGAGAAGAUUUUUACAGUGCGGUGGAUGAAGGAUUGUACCCUGGUCCUCAGGGACAUCACGCUCCAAGAUACAAGCUGAUGGAGUAGUCAACCGGAGGUCUGGUUUUGGUCGGGAAGCGUGGCGAAGCUCUAUUUCCCUGCACCGGUGUUUGGUCUGAGGUCAUCCCGGUGGUAUGAGUUUUGCACCUUCUGAAGCUGUGAUACAAGGCACCGGUCAUGGUAACCGCACGUCAAGGUCUGUCUUUCAGUCCGGAUGUAACUGUCCGG
rnacentral:lncRNA from 1 species